UCGGCGCACCCACCUCGCUCGAGGUUGGGCGAGCGCGGAAGUAGAGUUCGGGACGGCGGAUCGGAAUCCAUCGACCGAUUCUCUCUUUCUCUCCUCUCCCUUGGAUUCCUGUAGGCGGUGGAUCAAUCUUGCCUUCGUGGUGGCGGCAGAACGAGCGCCGUGAGAUCAGGUGGACCUGCUUCUGAUUCCUCCUGGUGCUUGGGACGUUUUCGGCUAGAUUGAUUUACUAGCUACGUCCAAGCAGGCCACUGGAUUGAUUUCAUGAGGCUUACUAGCUACGUCCCAAUCAAGAUAGCUAGACUUACUAGCUACGUCCCAAGCAGGCCAAUCCAAUAUGUUGAUCAAUUUGAUUGUUCUGGCUGGAGGUCAGGAGGUCAGAAGGCAGUGCACUGCGGGAGCGUGUACUGCGACUAUUUCUGCACUGCCGAGGAAGGCUUGAUCUUUCCCACAGGUCCACCUUCUUUACCUUUCCGUUCUUUGAACUGGAUAAGUUCUGAUAUUCUAACAUUGAUGGAAAAUCAUUAUCUUCUGUAAAGCCACAUUUCAUUUUAUGAUUUUUAGCAGAAGCUCGCUUCGAGGUCUUGGUGUGGGGCUGCUGGGGAAGGGAAUGUCCUUCUACUUAGUGAAAGUCGUUGUUGCUGCGGCUGAUUUUACCUUCUUUCUAAGUGUUCUAUUUUAUUAGUGCAAUUGGUUCGAGUUAAACUAACAUCCAUCGUACAAAUAUUUGUGGGACAUAUUCAGAAAUCUGGAAAGAAGCGAGGAUUCUCAAGCUUCUGACUUCUCUGAUUCUGCAAGCCUUGAGGCUGUGAAACAUCUAUGCUAGGUCGCCACACUUCUGCCACCUUCAUUUGAUGAGGUUCAGCGUUCACUACUAUGAAAGAAGAAGGCAUAUAUUUUCCUUGUGGAAUUUCCAGUAGAAUGGCAGUGAGAACGAGUAAAAAUCUGCAACAGGUAAUACAUUAUUUUGAAGCUACAUGGAAAGCAAAGUAAGCACAUGGAACCCUCAUUUGAGAGUGGGGGUUAAACUUCCCUGGACUUCUCCCUUAAUUCUUACUGCAGUCUUUUUAUUCACAUUUCCUAUUGUGUAGUUGGUGACAAAGAUGAAUUGUUAUCCACUUGAGAAAAUAAAGAUUAAAUCGAUGAUGCUCUCAAAAGUAAAAUGACUUUCUGAGCUGGAUAGAGACAUUGUGAGCAUCAAUAUAGAACUUAUAAACCUUUUUCCUUGUUUGUUAUAAUGAUAUUUUCAUUUUCCUGUGUAUAUUAAACUUGAGAAUAUUAUUCUGCAUUACUUCAACCGUUACUUUUUAUGUGUUUGCAGUAUGAAUGUAUGGUUCUCACUCAAAGUAGAGGCCCAACAAACUUUUUUGAAGUAGGAGUCGAAAACUACAAAUCCAUCUAUUCCUAGAAUGGAGCUGGUUGGAGUUGAGCCUACAAUUGAGCGGGUAGUUCGGUGGCACCGACAUCCAGCUGAAAGUUUUAUAGGAGGGUUAGUAAAGCAAAUUUGUUCAUGAGGAAAUGUGCCAGCAAAACAUUGAGUCAGAGUGCAAGACAAAUGCUCUUAACAGUUUUUUUGGUCGCUUUUCUUUAAUUACAAUUCUUAUUAUUUUUAGUUGGCAUUGAUGUACAAAAGAAAAUCCUGUGCCUUUUUUGUCCUCUCAUUGACCAUUGUAUUUUUGAGUCAUAUCAGUCUAUGUAAAAGAAUUCAGUACCUUA